rnacentral:rRNA from 1 species
AUUGAACGCUGGCGGCAUGCCUAACACAUGCAAGUCGAACGGUAACAGGCCCUUCGGGGUGCUGACGAGUGGCGGAUGGGUGAGUAAUACUUAGGAAUCUACCCUGUAGUGGGGGACGAACCCGGGGAAACUCGGGCUAAUACCGCAUACACUCUACGGAGGAAAGCGGGGGACCGGCAAGGCCUCGCGCUAUUGGAUGAGCCUAAGCCCGAUUAGCUAGUUGGUGGGGUAAUAGCCUACCAAGGCAGUGAUCGGUAGCUGGUCUGAGAGGACGACCAGCCACACUGGGACUGAGACACGGCCCAGACUCCUACGGGAGGCAGCAGUGGGGAAGUAUUGGACAAUGGGCGAAAGCCUGAUCCAGCGAUGCCGCGUGUGUGAAGAAGGCC